rnacentral:lncRNA from 1 species
CGCCAAUGAGCAGGAGGCUGGUUAUCCAUAUCUUCUUUAAUUGGAUCUCAAUAUUGAGGCUCUUGAUUUAAUCUCACCUCAUUGAUAGUAGCACUCAAAGUUCGAAGUGCGGCAGCCUGUUCGUCUAACUGUUGUUGGAAUUUUUUAAUGUGUCAUAGACAUCAUUAUGGUCAUUAUCACCUUGACCAAUCUUAGACAUUUUCAAAAACCUGCAAAACAAACACUCAACACUCAAAAAGAAAAAUUAGCAAACCUCAUUGUUAAUCACUCAAAAAGAAAAAUUAAAUUCUCAAUGAGGUAGAAUUCAGUCUUGUGAGUUCUUUAGUAGAGUCUAUACCAACCAAUUAGAAAGUGUAUGAACCGAAACUACCAAAGAGUCCUAAUUUGUACUAAUAUGCCAAAAACUGACGAGACACCAAUUAAUUUGUGUUGCACCGAGGAAGAAUUGUGCACACCUUAAAAUCCUACUAACACAAGAAACAAGAAGGUGUUAGAUAGUGUAAAGGAAGAAUAAAGGAAAACAAAUGAAAACCUACAACUAAGAAUCAAUAAAAAUUGUUGAAAUCGAAAAACCUGAAAAACUUCGGAAUAACUUGACAACUUUGUUCGAGGUGUUCCCCAUCUCCAAAAAUCACGAAAUUAAAUAUGGAAUGUCCUUAAAUAUUUAAUUUUUUAUCUGGAAAGUUUGGGCACCAAACUCAACCCGCUAAAUCUUUUUUAAAUUUUUAUUGGAUUUCGUCUUUUUCAAUUUUUUUUGACUUUUUCGACUGAAUAUUUUGCGGGAAUUUUUUUUUAUAUUCAAUCACAUUUCCACAAAUAUGUAUGUAAAAUUUUAGAUCAAUCGGACAACGUUUACAC